ACAACAUGGUUGUCCCAUGGCAGAGACAUCCUGUUUCACACAAAAUCCAUUAAUGUUUCUGCCCUACCCUGCUCAAGAACAAUCGCCCGCCAGGACAUGCUCUCCAUGGCUCUGACUGAACGUUCCUGACUGUACAAUGGUUUCCUUGGAGUCGCGUGUGCUGCACAGCAUGCACCCAUGCACUGCAACUGCUGUUUUUGUGAAGAGAUCUGGCCAACCAGGCAACAUCUAACCCAACAUUGCCCAAGGCAGUCAUCUGCACAUCCUAAGGCAAGCAGAACUCUUCCUGAAGCCAAGGAUGCAGCAUGUAGCAGCUACCAUGAUCAGCCGGAUAUCUGUACUCGGGUGUCCAUGCAUGAAAAUGGUCACGAGGAGAUGCUGGAUUAAGGCCUGCCAAGAGACAUCCACUGAGAAUCCAACCAAGCCUGAAGCUCAUGGGUGAAGCUACAGGCACCAGCCCAGAUCUUCAGCAAAUUAUAAAGACAGCCAGCAAAUGCCCAGAAGGCAAAGUGGAGGAAAUGAGCUAAUUUGGAGCCAAGGAACCAGAAAUAUUUUGCACAAACUCCUGGACGAUUGUACACCUGUGGUCCGCUUGUAAUGUCCCAUCCGUGUGGUGGUUCACAGAAAUCUGA
rnacentral:lncRNA from 1 species